rnacentral:lncRNA from 12 species
CCAAUGGCUUUGAAUCUCAAGAUUCAACUGAAAGAGGCCCGAAGGAAUUAUAUGGUUUACUUCCAUUGGUUUACCAUUUUUGUAUCGUAGAAAACCAUUUGAGAGUAAACAUAGGGGAAAAAAAGUCAUGUUGGCAAUUAACAUAGAGGAAUAGUAGAAAUCCCAGGAAUCCUCUAGAGAUGUAGCAGGUGUAAAACUGUUUCUCCCAGUGCUUUCCACAUUGUAGGUCAGAAAAAAAAAAAAAAAACAAACACAAAAACCAACCCUGCCCCCCAAAACCAAAAACCUACCAUGCUUACAUUUUUAUUCAAACUCAAACCCACGGAGUUUUCUUUGGCCCAACCAAAGAAAAGAUUUGAGGACUGAGCCGAAGAAACUCUUCGUAAAAAAAAAAAAAAAAAAAAAGUAGUAUAUAGCCUAGAGGAUUUUUUUUUUUUUUUAAGUUCAAGAUGUCAGCUGUGGCGCAGUUCUUGUUCCCACAGAAACAGGAUGUACUUGGUCUACCUAGAUGAUGAGUGGAACAACAUCGUGGUUGCUCGGCUACAUCCCUGGGGAUGGUUUCACCAUGAGGUUCUCCUGCUUGCUGCACUCUUGCUUCACUAGUGGUUCCACUGCUCAUUCUCAAAGUCACGGACAUCACCACAGGCAUCUUGAAUGUGACUCUAAGAAUCCCAGUGUUAGAUGAGAUAAUGUGAAGCUUUCACCUCAUCUGGUACCUCUGAGAGAACAUGAGUUGGUCUAGAAGACAUUGCCCUCUCCCUUGGUGACAUAUCAGGGUAUCAGGAGAGGGUUUGGAGGGGAGGAAGCAAGUUGUCUUGGGUUUUUCCACACAUCCCCAUGUUCUCGUGGAUCAAGCUCUGUGUUGCAGUGGCCUCGUACACAAUAUGCCAACUGAAGGGCCAGUAUUGACGAGAACUUGUUGCAUUUGAACUUUAAUUAUACAUGGUGAAGAGAAAGUCGCUCUUCAGGUUUGCUUUAUUUAGUGAAGGGAGAAAAUCUAAUUUAUCUAAUUAGAGAAAAAUUAUCACAGAAUAAAGAAGCCAAGCACAUAUCUCA